CCUACGGGUGGCAGCAGUGAGGAAUAUUGGUCAAUGGGCGCGAGCCUGAUCCAGCCACGUCGCGUGAGGGAAGACGGUCCUAUGGAUUGUAAACCUCUUUUGUCGGGGAGCGAAAGACGCCACGCGUGGCGUUCCGAGAGUACCCGAAGAAAAAGCAUCGGCUAACUCCGUGCCAGCAGCCGCGGUAAUAGGGAGGAUGCGGGCGUUAUCGGGAUUAAUUGGGUGAAAGGGGGGCGCAGGCGGAAGAUCAAGUCAGUGGUAAAGUUGAGAGGGUAAACCUCUGAGAGCAGUGGAAACUGGUUGUCUUGAGUGAGUGAGAGGUAAGCGGAAUGCGUGGUGUAGCGGUGAAAUGCGUAGAUAUCACGAAGAACACCGAUGGCGAAGGCGGCAUACCGG
rnacentral:rRNA from 1 species